rnacentral:lncRNA from 1 species
UUUUACUUUGGCCACUUUGUGGCCUUUAGGAUCCCAGUUCUCCAACCAAGGAUGGAACCCGGACUCCUGCAUGAAAGCGCUGAGGCCUAACCACUGGACCACCAGGCAGUUCCCUCCUGCAGGUAAAUUUAAAUACUCUUACGCAUAUACAAAUAAAUAAAUAAAGAGAAGUAAGGGAAAUUAAGUUUAAUAUGUUCUUUAACUCAAGAUAUCUCAGAAAUUCUCUGGUGGUCAGUGGUUAGUGCUCCAUGCUUUCAAAGACAAGGCAAGGGUUCCAUCUCUCAGAGUUCUUGUAAAUCCUGAGGCACACCUCCCUGCCCCCCGCCCCCCACAAAACAGAUAUCUAAAAUAUCAUUUCAAUAUCAACAUUACAGAGAUAUUUUACAAUUUUUAAUACUAAGUCUUUGAAAUCCCAUGUGUGUUUUCCACUUUCAGUACCUCUGAAUUGGGCGGAACCACCUGCCCAGCGAUCCCUGGCUGCAUGUGGCUAGUGGCUGUGACAGUUCAGAUCAACAUAAUGUUUCCUGCUGUUUAGUAGCUAAGUAGCGUCCGACUCCUUGGGACCCUGUGACCCGCCAGGAUCCUCUUUGUCCAUGGGAUUUCCUAGGCAAGAAUUCUGUCACGGGUUUCCAUUUCCUCCUCUAGGGGAUCUUUCCGACCCAGAAAUCGAACCCAUGAUUCCUGUCUUGCAGGUGGAUUCUUGACAAUCUGAGCCAUCAGCGAGGCCCACAGCUGAGGAGGAAGGGCACGGAAACGAGGGCCUAGGCGGAGGGAGCUUUCGGUAGGAGUCCGAGGAUCGGUUUGGUUCGUAGAAGCACCGAAGGGCAAGGGCGCUGCAGUUGGAGUGAACCCCUCCCGCGGCCCGGCCCCGCCCUCCGCAUCCACACGCUCCCUCCCUUCCCCACUGUGGGCCAUCCGCCUUCCGCCUGGCAGGGAAGCCCCCUCCACACACCCGACCCUACGGAGCCCCUCUCUCCGCAGGCGGAGGCCUGUGUAACACACUGCAGUCCGGGCGUUUCUAGCGAGUGAGUCUUGCGACCUUGUCUUCAGGAAAACUCUCGGCCAACAGCUCGUCGCACGGGUCCCUCUCGACGGCCACCCCGCACCCUCUCCGGUCGGGUCUCUCCUCUCCACUAGCACCAAGGAGGAGCUCCCCGCCGCC